UCGAAGGACGAACGCUGGCGGUGUGCUUAACACAUGCAAGUGGUGCGACGAACCAGAGCUUGCUCUGGGGCAAAGCCGCGAACGGGUGAGUAACACGUGGGUAAUCUACCCCGAUGACCGGGACAACCCGAGGAAACUCGGGCUAAUACCGGAUGUGGUACGGAGACAUAAGUCUCUUUACUAAAGGUAGCUUCGGCUUCCGCAUUGGGAGGGGCCCGCGGCCCAUUAGCUAGUUGGUGGGGUCAAGGCCUACCAAGGCAACGAUGGGUAGCUGGUCUGAGAGGACGAUCAGCCACACUGGGACUGAGACACGGCCCAGACUCCUACGGGAGGCAGCAGUGGGGAAUCUUGCGCAAUGCGCGAAAGCGUGACGCAGCAACACCGCGUGAGGGAAGACGGCCUUAGGGUUGUAAACCUCUUUUCAGAUGGGACGAAGGUGAUGCGGUGAAUAGCCGAUGUCAUUGACGGUACCGUCAGAAGAAGCUCCGGCUAACUACGUG
rnacentral:rRNA from 1 species